ACAUGCUGGAAGUAACAUAUAUCUUAUCUUUGCAGUAAUGGAUCCAGCUUGGCUUACGAGAACCAGUCCCAGUGCUCUUGGCAGUUUCUUCAAGGGUGGAAUGGAAGGGUUGCUGCUGUCGGUUUGCUGUCAAGUCGCCAACACUGAACUUCUUGUUGAGGAGUACUCUGCCUCAUAUGUAUGACUGUAUGGAAAGGUGGUCCAUUUAUUCCUUUUCCCUGUCCCGUGUGGAGGUGUCAGGAUGACUCAACCAACCUUGGCUGGAUUGGCAAACUCUGGAAAGAAAUCAGCAUACAGCUCGGUCAUUAACAGCAAUUGCCGACCAGUAGCAAAAGUCAGACGCACUCAUUGAGGAGUACUCUGCCUACGGUGAAAGGUGAGGCCAGAGGUUCAACGGAGAAUCAUCGGAAACCUGUGUGUCAUAUUCAUUGGCCAUUAUUCAAGCGCUUGUGUAGCUCUGAACAAAACCCAACACGGUGAAACUGACUCAUCUGCUCCAAUGUGCUUCCGAUGCCUCUCAACUCUCUUCAGCCGUUUCCCUUUGGAAAAGUCAAUGGAUUUAGAAGUGUUCCAGACCUGGUGGAAGGUGUUAAAAAAAUUACCGUAUUAAUGAGAUGAUCUCCCUGUUGUUUCUAUUUUUGUAUCAAAGGUGCGUCUCAUUGUGGGAAAGCAUAAGAAUUUCAUUCAUU